rnacentral:tRNA from 1 species
AUCUUAUUAGUUUAAUGAACAUUUGACUUCCAAUCAAAAAGACUUAGUUUUAAUCUAAGAUAAGAUA